CCCAGCAUGAAGUGGGUAGACAUAGAAAAAUGAUUGCAAUGAAAUGGCCUGGGAUAUAAACCAAGCUUCACAUGUGAUGUCAUUUCUAGUGCAGCAUCUUGCAAAAAACUAUGUUAGAUAUCACCAGAAUGUGCAUCCCAGGAUCUUCAAAAAGCCAGACAAGAGGAAGGAAUUAGGAAUGUAAGUUAUUCCUGGUUUUAUAAUACAAAUGACUUACUGAGAACAAGCUAGCUCAGUAAAUGGUAUUUGAACACAAAGUGAGAUAAGUCUGUGAAAGUGUCUGCACCAAGUAAAUAUAGAGUGA
rnacentral:lncRNA from 1 species